rnacentral:lncRNA from 1 species
UAUCUCUUAUAACCUAAAUCAUUCAAAACCCUCAUUUUCUUUCCAUUUCUAUAAUCUUAUUGCAGUUAAGAAAAUUGUUCUAAUCAUCUUUCCAACUCCAAAUCAAAUCGGGCUUUGAACAACAUGAACAGUGCAAGGAGAAAGUAUAUAAUAUGUAUUUACUGAUUCCUCAAUAAAUAAUGAGGUUAGUUUCUUCUAAUUAUUUUAUUAUAUACUUUUAGAAUAAUGUUGCCAAUAUGCGUAUAAAUAUCAUGAGUUUUAAUAUUUAUUUUCAUAAAUUAUGCCAAUUAAUUGUCAUUAAGUUAGAAAAUAAGACUUUACCUAUUUUCUUCACUGCCUUACAUGUUAAAAUCGGCUCCAUCGUAUUCAUGAAUGAAUUGGCAUUUUGAAUUCUAGAAAAUGAGAAUGGUGAUAGGGUAUGAAAUUUUAAUUAUUAUUUUACUCAAUUGCUUAAUUUUGAAUUCAAAAGCAAUCAUGACAUUUUAUUUGAUUAAUAUUAAAAUAAUGUUUCAAUUUCAUUUCAUAUAUGAAAUGAGUGAGCCAGAUGAGUGUGUGCACAUUAUAUGUACCAGUAUAUGUAUGUGCACAUUAGUUUUUGUAAUUAAAUUUAAAAUUCGAUUUAAUUGUUCUAUGUUUUGUUGACUACAAAUUAUUUUAAAAUAAUAAGUAAUUGGUAUUUAUUAUGUCAAAGAAAAAAAAUUUAUUCUUUUCCGCAUUUAUAAUUUUAAAAAGAGAAUGAAAUAAUAAUACUUCCAGAUCUAGGUAUAUAGAUUUGGGGGGUGUUACAUUAAAGGACCCAGCGUUGCCCUUGCUAUGUAUAAUGUUGAUCAGGUUUGUCUUUAGACAGCUCGCCUGCAAAUUGAAUCUUUUUUACAGUCUUUUGCCUCAUCAUCUGGAUUUUUGUAAAAAUUUAUCGAUCUACUCGAGCAUUUGCAGAAUCAUCAAUGGCAAUGGCAUUUGCAAAAAAAAAUAAAAAAAUGGCCUCUUUACUUGAGCACAAAGAAUACAAUUCUUAAGAAGCAUGAUGUCGGGUUAUUUGUUUCGGAAAAGCUUGGUCAACUAUUAUCAUAAUAAUAAAAUCAAAUGUAUCUAUAUAAUACCAUUUACAUCAAUAUUUCACUAUUUCGGGUUCAAGGAUAUAUUUCAGAAGGUAUAUGAAGAGAAGUGGAAGGAGCAACUUGAAGAAUAUUCAAUAUGGUUGGCUUUAUAUCUUUGAUGCAUAUCACCUUAUGUGCCCAUUCACAUUGUUUUCUAAAACAUAUAUGCUUCCCCUAGGUGAAUGCCUGUAAAAAUCGAGACAUAAAAAAUAGAUUAAUGUGGCUCUACUUUUCUAUAUGAUUUGCAAUAUCUUAACUAAUCAUGUAAGUUAAUUAUGCUAGUGCAAGUCUUUUUUAAUACAUGUCUGUGCAGGAUUUGGCUCUCUAAGCCUGGUGACUUCUGUGUUAGUAAGUAUUGCAUUUUUCUUUAAGUUGAAGUAUUUGUUCAUGUAAUAUUGAUACAGUCCAUCUUGUCUGUUUGAAGUUGUGGGGUGAUGGCAAAAUAUUAGCAGAGGCGGCUCAUGGCACUGUUACUCGUCAUUAUUGGCUACAUCAGAAGGGACAAGAAACGAGUACAAACAACAUUGCUCCUAUAUUUACCUGGACAAGAGGAUUAGAACACAAGUUAGUUUUGUUCCUAUAACACAACUACUUGAUUUAUUUUCCGAACCACCAUGCUAUGAGCAAUUUACUACAAUUAUUUGGAUCUGAAAAGUGGUCCGUUUGCGGAGAUUGUUUCUUUAUAAUAUUAUCUUCUUAGUUGAGACAAUCUAUGAUUAAAG